rnacentral:rRNA from 1 species
AUCUGCGACCAUACCACCCUGAGCGCUCCCGAUCUUGUCUGAUCUUGGAAGCUAAGCAGGGUCGGGGCCUGGCUAGUACUUGGAUGGCAGAUA